rnacentral:lncRNA from 1 species
UGAAAGUCAGGUCGGAUUAAGCCAUAGUACGGGAAAAACUAUGCUACCUGUGAGCCCCGUCCAAGGACGUAAAAAGAAGUCAGGCCAUCAUAAAAAUGCCACAGCUUGAGCAAACUGUGCAGCCUGUAGCUCCACCUGAGGAGGUGUAAAAAACCCGGGAGGCCACAAACCAUGGAAGCUGUACGCAUGGCGUAGUGGACUAGCGGUUAGAGGAGACCCCUCCCUUACAAAUCGCAGCAACAACGGGGGCCCAAGGUGAGAUGAAGCUGUAGUCUCACUGGAAGGACUAGAGGUUAGAGGAG